rnacentral:rRNA from 1 species
GACGAACGCUGGCGGCGUGCUUAACACAUGCAAGUCGAACGGAAAGGCCCUGCUUUUGUGGGGUGCUCGAGUGGCGAACGGGUGAGUAACACGUGAGUAACCUUCCCUUGACUUUGGGAUAACUUCAGGAAACUGGGGCUAAUACCGGAUAGGAGCUCCUGCUGCAUGGUGGGGGUUGGAAAGUUUCGGCGGUUGGGGAUGGACUCGCGGCUUAUCAGCUUGUUGGUGGGGUAGUGGCUUACCAAGGCUUUGACGGGUAGGCGGCCUGGGAGGGUGAACAGCCGCAAUGGGACUGAGAGAGGCAGCAGACUGGUACGGGGGGCAGUAGCGGAGAGUAUUGCACAAUGGGCGGAAGCGUGAUGCAGCAACGCCGGGUGCGGGAUGCCGGCCUUCGGGUUAUAAACCGCUUUCGCAUGUGACGAAGCGUGAGUGACGGUAAUAGGUAAAGAAGCACCGGCUAACUACGUG